UACGGAGGGUGCAAGCGUUAUCCGGAUUCACUGAGUUUAAAGGGUGCGUAGGCGGAUAUGUAAGUCCGUGGUGAAAUCUCUGGGCUUAACCCGGAACUGCCAUGGAUACUAUGUGUCUUGAAUGUUGUUGAGGUGAGCGGAAUAUGUCAUGUAGCGGUGAAAUGCUUAGAUAUGACAUAGAACACCAAUUGCGAAGGCAGCUCACUAAGCAAAUAUUGACGCUGAGGCACGAAAGCGUGGGGAUCAAACAGG
rnacentral:rRNA from 1 species